rnacentral:rRNA from 1 species
UACGAGGGGGGCGAGCGUUGUCCGGAAUUAUUGGGCGUAAAGGGCUCGUAGGCGGUUUGUCGCGUCGGGAGUGAAAACACCGGGCUUAACUCGGUGCUUGCUUUCGAUACGGGCAGACUAGAGGCAUGCAGGGGAGAACGGAAUUCCUGGUGUAGCGGUGAAAUGCGCAGAUAUCAGGAGGAACACCGGUGGCGAAGGCGGUUCUCUGGGCAUGUCCUGACGCUGAGGAGCGAAAGUGUGGGGAGCGAACAGG